AUUGAAGUAAAUGAAAGUAAAAAAUUUCGCUACAGAUGAAUUUUCGAUAUUAGGACAAUGAAAACCAGAAUGUUUGCAAUCAAGGACAUUCCAAAAAAAGCAAAAGAAAUUUAUUUUAUUGACAAAAGCAACAACAUUGAUUACAAAUCAAGUUUUUGAUGACAAUGAUGAAAUAGACAGUGCUGAUAAAAAAUGACUGACAAAUAAGCUGCAUUCAGUAUCGAAAAUGUAGAAGAGGAAACACCAUUGACAACAGUUGAGGGGAAAAUCUGUUAUUUAACUUAUAACGAAUUGUUUUUAAAAAAGAAGAUUUUCAAAUUA